CCGGCCAUGGGGGGCCCGGGCCUGCAGGAGGCCAGAGCAGGAACUCGGCGGGAAAUGACUGGCAUGAGGGCACGGCCGGGCUCGGGGCGCCCGUGCUGGCGCCCUAGACAGUGACUCUGGGCCAUGCACUGGACCCACAGAGCUGAUGAGAAAUAAGAAAGAACAAGAGAAUAAGAAUAAGCAAGUUGCCCACCUUUACACAGCUGACGGACAGACUGUGUGGCAGGAACUGCUCCUGGGGCCCAGGCACACUCAUCCCUUCUUGGGUUCUCUGGAAC